rnacentral:lncRNA from 1 species
UGAAAAUGCAGAACAUAAUAGCACUUUUCAUCGUGUAAAAGAGAGUUUGAAUUAACAUAUCGAAUUUUGGAAAAAUAUUGGCGCUAGUGAUUUUGUCAUUAACACUAUAAAAGGCGGUUACAUUAUACCGUUUUUAGAAACGCCUUAACAGUUGCACUGUAAGGACAACAAAUCUGCAUUUAUGAAUGAGAAAUUUGUGGAUGAAGAUUUUUCUGAAUAAGUAGGUCCUGAGUGUGCUACGUUAGUCCCUUUUAGGCCUUU